rnacentral:rRNA from 1 species
AGUGGCGGACGGGUGAGUAACGCGUGGGUAACCUGCCUCAGUACAGGGGGAUAGCAGUUGGAAACGACUGAUAACACCGCAUAAGCGCACAAGGAUCGCAUGAUCUAGGUGUGAAAAUAUUUAUAGGUAUGAGAUGGACCCGCGUCUGAUUAGCUAGGUUGGUGAGGUAACGGCCCACCAAGGCGACGAUCAGUAGCCGGCCUGAGAGGGCGGACGGCCACAUUGGGACUGAGACACGGCCCAAACUCCUACGGGAGGCAGCAGUGGGGGAUAUUGCACAAUGGGCGAAAGCCUGAUGCAGCGACGCCCGCGUGAGUGAAGAAGUAUUUCGGUAUGUAAAGCUCUAUCAGCAGGGAAGAAAGACCUCGGUAAGAGGGGAUGACGGUACCUGAGUAAGAAGCCCCGGCUAACUACGUGCCAGCCGCCGC